GACUCCGUGGCGCAACGGUAGUGCGUCUAUUUAGUUCCAGAUUAGAAGAUGCGUGUUCAAAUCACGUCAGGGUCA
rnacentral:tRNA from 1 species